ACCAUGUUUGCCUAAUGGUUUGAGUAUUGGAUUAUGACUCUGGAGGCCAGGGUUCAAUUCCCUUAUCGGCUA